rnacentral:rRNA from 1 species
GACGAACGCUGGCGGCGUGCCUAACACAUGCAAGUCGAGCGGGGUCCAUCCGGUAGCAAUACCGGGGAAGACCUAGCGGCGAACGGGUGAGUAACACGUGAGAAACCUGCCCCGAAGUCUGGGAUAACCCGAGGAAACUCGAGCUAAUACCGGAUGUCUUCUUCUAAUCGCAUGGUCGGAUGAAGAAAGAUUUAUCGCUUCGGGAGGGUCUCGCGGCCUAUCAGCUAGUUGGCGGGGUAACGGCCCACCAAGGCGUCGACGGGUAGCUGGUCUGAGAGGACGAUCAGCCACACUGGGACUGAGACACGGCCCAGACUCCUACGGGAGGCAGCAGUGGGGAAUAUUGCGCAAUGGGCGAAAGCCUGACGCAGCAACGCCGCGUGCGGGAUGAAGGCCUCGGUUGUAAACCGCUUUCAGUGGGACGAAGUUCAGACGGUACCC